GACUUACUUUGCAGCAGGCACAGUAUUUCCAGCAGAGCAGCAGAAGCAACGCCAGGAGCAACAGGAGGAAGAUGAGCAGGGGGAUGAGCCACCAGAAGGAGCCGGGAGGGCAGUCUGCAGGGACUGUGCUGUUGGGCCCAGGGCUGCCAUCGCCCUCCACGUUGUAGCUGUAAGUGCAGUCGUCAUCCUCAUCCCGGAAGGAGCAGUACUCCACCACCUCUUCUGCUAAAUCCACAGACUGUUAGCACGGCACCCUGACCCAGCCCUCCACUCGGGGCAUCCCGGGGCCUGGAGAGGUAUUACCUCCUCCGUGGCCUACGGGAAAGAGCGUAAGUCCCCUGACUAGAGAAGUCACCAGGAUGAAGGGACUGCCCUGCCCAGGGCUGGCACCACUAACAGGCUCGUCUGAAAGUUCAUCGCCCCCCCCCCCACUUCCCUGCUCCGCACACUAUCAUAAGUAUAGUGUCCAGACAGCAGAGCUGACUUAGAAGGAGACAAAUAAUAUCCUGUCAUCCAACAGCACGCCGCACCUGGGCCCCUCAACUGUGCUGUGGGCCUGCCCUAUCGCUUACUCAUCUGACCCCUCACUCCCAGCUACACGGACUCUCCUUUCCUCUCGGCUCUCGAUCCGACUUUGUACCUGUACUAGGCUUCCCCUGUCUAGGUCCUGAGGCAUCUCACAGCUCCGCUCACAAACGCAGUCCGGGAUGCAUAGCCUCAACUCAGAGUUCAAGCCUUUUCCCGUCCUCCAUGCUGGGUUCUUCCUGCCUAGACUCAGCACUGUCUCUCAGACCCCUUACCCCCUCCCUCCCCCGGAGAUCUCACUCAUGCUGUACUGAACUCUCUAAGUAGACAGAGAUCUACCUGCUGCUGUCUCCCAAGUGCUGGUAUUAAGGCUGUAGGGUAUCACGCUGCCGCCCCUACCUUUCUUAAGCUCGUCUACCAUCUUGACUUUAAAGGGGCAAUCGUCACACGCGCGCCCUUUCUUCUCCCCGGUGCCCCAGGCCUGG
rnacentral:lncRNA from 1 species